UUUCACCGCCUUCCCAAAGUCAUCACCAAUCGUGGAGAUGAGACAGGAGGGCUGUGUGGUUGUCGUUGUUGUCAAGAGCUGAUUUGAAGGAGAACGGCCUGCACUAUGUACCAUUGUUUACCCCACUUUAUCUCGGGACUAAUUUGUGGCUGGUCAUUCCAACAAAGCACGCUCCAGCUAUUCAAUAGCUUUUAACUGUUCACGCAGACGGCUCGUUUCAGAACCCAGAAGAAAGCGAUUGGUACGUGAUUAGGACAACGCUACCAUUGACAAGAAUCACGUCUCUGCUUUGGCUUUCAUCAGCGAGCAUGAAUGAGGCCGCUGGCGAGGGGGAGGAGACUUUGUUGAGUGCUGGACCCGAUGAUGAGUCGAGACCUUUGUCAGGUGGCCGCCACACGGAGGAGUCGGGCGAAGACGAGCUGGGCCGACUGGACGUCGAUCUGGACGCCAAGUCCAGACGACACAACUUGACGUCCUGCAACGUGCGCACUAUCCUGCAUGAGGUGAUCACUCAUGAACACGUGGUGGCCAUGAUGAAAGCUGCCAUCAGAGACACGCAGGACAUGCCCAUGUUUGAGCCGAAGAUGACUCGCUCGAGAUUGAGGAGGGCCAUCCAGCAGGGACAGUGUCUCGACUGGAGUUUGUCUGCAGAACAAAGCUCGCUGCCUCCUCAGUUUGUCGACAUCCAUCUUGACGCAGAUGAAGACUCAUCCGACGAAGAGUACUGUCCUCAAGACGAUGACGACGAUGACACUGCUGAAGAGUCUUUCUUCAGUGACGCGGAAAUCAUUUCGCCUCCCAAAGUUCAGAACUGUGACUCCAGCUCCCAGGGGUACUCGAGGGCCGCGUCGCUCAACUUGACAGAGGCUGCCGCUGCCCCCUCCUUCCUGGAACGCCUCAACGCUGUAGAGGAGGAGCUUAACUGUGGCCCCACCUACACAUCUUUUUCGUCUCACACGACGCAUGAGGAGAAGGAUGAAGACUCGAGCAGUCUGGCGUUCCGCACGCGGUCAAAACUUCGCCUUGUCAACGUCCCCCUGGAGCAGCUGGAGGCGGAGCUUCUGGCCCCCGACAUCACGGCUGACAUGUAUGAGCAAAGCCCCCCCCGCAAGGAGGAAGACCGCCAUUGGACGCGCUGGCUGCACGGACUCAUGGCGCCUGACAACGGAGAGGAAGUCGACGACGACGACGACCCGGAAUAUAACUUUUUAGACGACCUGGAUGAACCCGACCUGGAGGACUACAGGACAGACCGCGCCGUUCAGAUCACCAAGCGAGAGGUCAACGAGCUGCUGGAGGAGCUGUUUGACACGCUCCAGGAUCGAGAACCAGCAGAUGAAGAAGAAGAAGAAGAGGAGGAAGAAGAAGAGGAGGAAGAAGAGCAUCCAGCUGAAGGGGAAGAGCCAGAGGCCGGCCCCAAGUUCAAUGUCCCUCAGGCUUUGCGCUUCAAGCCACCUUUAGCCGGCAUGCUAACGGAGCAGCGGCGAGCGGUUCGCCAACAAUUACAAGCCGUGCAGCACAGGAGAGCCCUGCAGGACACCACCAACCGUCCCGCUGACGAGACCCCCCCGCCGCCUGCACCCCCCCACGCUACGUGGCUGCUUAAGGGUCCGCUAUGCCCUGCCUUGCAGCUGGACUCCGCUCACAAACUGCAACUGCAACAGCAAAUCCAGCAGCACGUGCAGCUUCUGACGGAGGUUCAUUUGCUGAGUUCUGGCAUCGGCGCCCUACAACACGAAGCGUCCGUGACCAAAUACUUCCUGGAGGAGCUGCACGGUUUCGCCGUGCGGCAGGAACAUCUCUUCGGCGUCUCGUCUUUCCGAGCGUGCAACUUGCAGGGUGCGCUGGACCUUCUUCAGGAGAGAGCGCGAAGAGUGGACCUUCCUCCUCCUCCACCCCGCGCGUCCAGGCGCUGGCUCCCCGUCAUGUCGUCGUCCACCAACGGCCACGCCUUCCCUGUAUUACCCUCUGACAUCGCCUGGCUCUUCGCCACACGACCGGUCUUCCUCUACCCAGAACUACUUCCUAUUUGCAGCCUGGACCCUUCACACCACAUGCGACCCCAUCGCAGUCUUUUUACUGUAGGAGAGGACGGGUUGAUUGUUUUAGGUCUGAAGCACUUUGAGGGGGCCGUGCAGCCGGUGCAAUUGAUCAGCUCCUUCAUGCUCUGUAAGAGCGCGUGGCACUUGACAAAACAUAUCCGAGAGAUGAGCGGCUCCAGAGCCCCGCCGGAAAACGUCCUCAAGAUGUUCCUGGCGCAGCAGCUCGUCAGCCCCCUCCCGCUAACCUGUGCAAGAGUGCAGCCUGAGGACCGGCGUCCCCCGGUGGAGAGAGACCCCUCCAUCAUGCCCAUCUGGCUCAAGAACAGCCAAGAGAUCAUCUGCAAGACACAAGUGAACAUCGCUACUCCAUCCUACACCCCCUUCCUUCCCAAAGGCUGCAACCUUCGACUUCACCCCACUCGCCUCAAAAAGUCCUUACGCCAGCCGGGACCCUCCCAAAGACGUCUUUUCACCCUCGCCCAUAAUGCAUCUCUGCACCCCAUCUGCUCGGCAGAAAGAAAGGCAGACUUUCUCCUUUCCUCUCGGCCCGCGGUGUCUCGCUCGGUCGCUCCGCUCCAACCCGGCUACGUCCUACUGCGAAGAGAUGCUACGUCGCAACUUCUGCCCGCCGGCGAGUCGCAACCCAAUCCUGUCCCGCUUCUGAACGGACCAAAAGAGUCAAGCGCACGUCAGCCAGAGGAGGGAUCCAGCAGGCACUGUGAAAACGCAACAUCAUGUCAACGGGCCGGACGCCGCCGGACCAGUCCAGAGCAGAAAGGACAAGGAGAGGAAGAAGAGCAGCCAGGAGGAGUACAAGGGGAGGAAGAGGAGCAGGAAGAAGGACAAGGACAAGGACAAGGGCAAGAAGAGGAGCAGGCAGGAGGACAUGAAGGACAUGGAGAGGAAGAGGAGCAAGCAGGAGGAGAUGAAGGACGAGGGCAGGAUGAGGAGCAGGGAGGAGGAGAGGAAGAAGAGCCAGGAGACCAAGAGAAGGAUGAAGAUCAAGAAAAGCAAGAGGAGGAGGAGGAAGACGAGGAGGAUGAAGACUUUGAUGAGCUCACGCAGGAUGAAGAUGAAGAGGAGGCGUUGUCGUCAGCGUCUGAGGAGUCUGUUCUGUCCAUCCCGGAGCUCCAGGAGACCAUGAAGCAGCUAGCCUGGCUGGCGUCCAAGAGGAGGCUCGGCGCCGACGCGGAGUCUGAGGAAGACCACUCGCCGGGGUCGCAAGAGGAAGAAGAGGAAGAGGAAGAGGCACCCAAAGGAGACGAGCCCGGCGGAAAGACGACGACGACGACGACGGCGGCGGCGUCUGAAGACGACGACGGCGCAAACACUUGCGAGGAGGAAACGCCCCGAACAGGACGAAGAGGAGGAAGGAUACGAGGCAGAGGUCGGCAGAGUCGACCUCUUCAAGGGGCGCGUCGAGCUCGGCGAGAGCGUCCCGGUCCCGGUCAAGAUGAGAGGAAAGUGAGUCUGCUCUACGAUGAAAACAUGCUGGAGAACGACCCUCAGCGUCACAGCAAGGACGUGGCCUUCGCCCACAGUUACCUGAACAGGGUUCGGGAGGCAUUGCACGACGUCCCGGAGAAGAUGAAGGAGUUUGUAUCUCUGCUGAACGACCUCGACCGGCUCGAAGGACAGGAAGUGGUCCUCGUCUUUAGGAAGCUGCGCUGCAUCCUGGGAAACCGGACAGAAUUAACCCAGGACUUUGCCGCCUUCCUGCAUCCCGAGCAGGCGCUCGAGUGCGGCCUGUUUCAAGAGCAACAGGCCUUUGAGCGCAGUCGGCGUUUCUUGCGACAACUGGAGAUCACGUUUGGCGAUAAUCCGUCUCACUACAACAAGAUCAUCAAGGCUCUGCAGCCUGGACCGCACCUCAGCCCCGCCAGCGUCAACGAGCUUAAAGCGCAAAUGACCGCCCUGCUGAAAGGACACCCUCAUCUGCAAGCUGAAUUUUGGGUGUUUUUUGACGAGCUCCGCCCCCCGCCGGCUCGCCCGGGACAGUUUGAGGAAGCUCGUUGGCCGGAGGAGAGCGGAGUCGGCUCGGAGGUAGCGGAGGGCGGAGGCUGUCUGACCGGAGGUGUGGCCAAUGGAGCCUUUGAGGAAGUCACAUUAGCGGACGAGGACGAGCACAAAAUGGACGGCGCCAUGAGCCGCCGUCAGAGGAGGAAGCUGCGCACCCGUGUGGCUGAUGAGGGAUCUGAUUGGCUGUGCCUCUGUCACAACUCCAAGAGUCGCACGCACCGUCGGAGAGGAUGCGCUCGCUGCCAUGUCAACAAGGGAUCAGGGGCUGUGUCCAGAGCCGUGAAGAGUCUGGACCCGCUCUACGUUCAGAUAGGGUCCGCCUCGGAAGACAAGGACGGCGUCGCCGACUCGCCGCGUCCCGUCGCACCGUCGUCGGAACGCUCGUUUCCGUCGGCCGCCGAUGAAGGCGAAAAGAUGUCGCCGCCUCCCAAGCGGAAAAGAGAAGAGGAGCCCCACCCACCGGCCGUCCCUCCCUGCACAGCACCCGCCCCGUCAGACCUUCCCGUGUGCGCCAAGAACAUUUCUUUGACGCCCAGCGGAGAGAAGGUCAUCCUCUGGACCAGGGAAGCGGAUCGGGUCAUUCUGACAAUGUGCCGGCAGGAUGGAGCCAGUCAGAACACCUUCCAGGGCAUCUCCGGUCUGCUCGGCAACAAGACUCCCGGCGAGGUUUCCCGCCGCUUUCGGGAUUUAAUGCGUCUUUUCCAGAGCGCGGCUCGCCAGGCCGGCUCAGAGGAUGAAGCUCCGCCCUCUGAGCUUCAGGCCAAUGAAAAACUGAGCUGAGAGGUCAUCAUUGUCCAUCUAAUCGGAUUGACAGUUUUCCACUAUGGAAAGAGAGAAAGUGCUGUGCAAGUGGACCGGCCGUGCUUGUUGACCCAGGGCACAUUCGACUGCUGUUCCAGGACGCUGCGUCAAACGCGGCUGUUCAUCCCCAAAACCUCUGCCUGCCGACGGGCGACGACGCGUCGGGAUCCCGAGCCGAGCCGAACGUGAACACCAAGUUGGCCACCGCCAUCG